UACGGAGGGUGCAAGCGUUAUCCGGAUUCACUGGGUUUAAGGGGGCGUAGGGGGGCAAGUAAGUCAGUGGUGAAAUCUCCGGGCUUAACCCGGAAACUGCCAUUGAUACUAUUUGUCUUGAAUACUGUGGAGGUCAGCGGAAUAUGUCAUGUAGCGGUGAAAUGCUUAGUUAUGACAUAGAACACCAAUUGCGAAGGCGGCUGGCUACACAAAUAUUGACACUGAGGCACGAAAGCGUGGGGAUCAAACAGG
rnacentral:rRNA from 1 species